ACGACGUAACGGAAUACUGCACGCCUAUAUUGUCCGAGCAAUAUUCGAAGUAAGCUUCACCCACUUAAAUAUCAAGGGGCAAACAACAAAAAGAAGUCUUCUAUCGCCUCUUUCUUUGGGCCGCCCACCUUUCAACCCGGCUAACUGAAACUACGGUCCGUUGCAAUGGUAACGGGGGCGAUUUUUGGCUACAACUCCACCGCAUCAUCAUAUUCUAGGCGUAGCUGGCUACCAGGCGGCCAGUUAGUUGGCUCAGACUGCCUCUUAGGUCAUCUGUUCGUUCGCUUGGUGCCUGUCGCUUAUUACCGUUACCACCGCUAUGCCAGCGGUAUGAUAAGUAGUCGUUGUUGCUAUCGUCGUUGCCGUAGGUCAAGUUUCAUCGCAGGCUCUAGCAGGUUUACUUUACACAAACAAGGCAGGUUGAGAGUGCAGAGGCACGAUCUUCUUUUGUGGGCCAGAAAAAAGAAAUAGAAAGAACGCGGCUAGGACCUUCUGCUGGCCAUCAGAAAAAAA